rnacentral:rRNA from 1 species
GACGAACGCUGGCGGCGUGCUUAACACAUGCAAGUCGAACGGAAAGGCCCUGCUUUUGUGGGGUGCUCGAGUGGCAAACGGGUGAGUAACACGUGAGUAACCUGCCCUUGACUUUGGGAUAACUUCAGGAAACUGGGGCUAAUACCGGAUAGGAGCUCCUGCUGCAUGGUGGGGGUUGGAAAGUUUCGGCGGUUGGGGAUGGACUCGCGGCUUAUCAGCUUGUUGGUGGGGUAGUGGCUUACCAAGGCUUUGACGGGUAGCCGGCCUGAGAGGGUGACCGGCCAAAUUGGGACUGAGAUACGGCCCAGAAUCCUACGGGAGGCAGCAGUGGGGAAUAUUGCACAAUGGGCGGAAGCCUGAUGCAGAAACGCCGCGUGCGGGAUGACGGCCUGCGGGUUGUAAACCGCUUUAGCCUGUGACGAAGCGUGAGUGACGGUAAUGGGUAAAGAAGCACCGGCUAACUACGUG